CCUCAUGAUCUGCCUGCCUCGGCCUCCCAAAGUGCUGGGAUUGCAAGCGUGAGCCACUGCGCCCGGCCGACUCACUCCUGUUAUGAGGGCCUAGUCUAGCACCCACUCUAGAAUUUUGAAACCUCAUUGAUAGCUUUUCCUUGCCCCAAAGCACACAUCCAGGACUGCCAAACAGGGCAACCCAAAACUUCUCUCAGAGCUUCCUCCAGCCCAGGGGCAGCUGUCCCCAGCUGGGCGGACCCAAAGAUGGACAACAGAGGAGACUGGGAACAAAGAGGUCUAGUCCAGGUCACUCUGCAGGGCCACAGUGGGUGGCCCUUAGGAUGUAGUGAGAGUACAGAAUUGGGAGCCCUAGAGUGCUGUAAGCAAAAGGGAGAGCAAUGUACAAAGUUUCAAAAGUUUCAAACCUUCCAAGUGCAAAGAGAUGAGGUGGAGAAUGUCAUUCCCCAAGGAAAGUAAUCGAGUAUAAAUAUUUACCGGGUGCCUAUUUUUUUUUUAACCGAAGUGAGAGCAAGACCUUAAGAGUAAGGAUAUGUGUAGGUGAGUGGGGGCAGUGUUCUAACCCAUCCACUAGCUUUAGAACUUGGAGCAGGGGCAGAGGAAGAAAACUCCAAAAGGUGACAAGUUUUGAAAUUUGUGCAGGGGUGACGGUUUUUGGUAAGGCGAGCGAGGCUGGGCGCAGAGCAAAUUCUGUCUACUUCUACCUCCUCCGCGGUGGGGUUGCUGAAGUGGGAAUUCAAACUCAGCUUCCCAAUCUUAAAUGCAAGGUUUUUGUUUGGUUGGUUGUUUGGUUUUGUUUUUCCUUUUCACGGACUGUUCAUUCCGAACACCCCUGGCCUGGGACCUGGAGCCUCAUCCCUGAUUCGCUUCCCUCGAAUUCCUUAAUGUCCACUUCUGGCUCUCCCAGUCCCUGUGCAAGUCUCCCGGUUCUGGCUGCAACUUCGCACUCCGCGCCUCUGGCAACCAGAAGAGACCCUGGCAUCUCCAAAGCGCUUUAUCUCAGUCCAUUGGAACCAGUCGUGCUGACCGAUUCACACCUCGGCUAACGCACACUCGCGGGGGUGAUGGCCUUCCCUUCCCCUCCCACCCCCGUCAGCUCCCAGUUUGGCAGGGAUCCUUAGCGGUAGAAGUGUUCAGAUGCUGGACUGAUGCAGUGACAACCUGCAAGUCCCUUUUUUCCUCUUUCCACCUUCUAGUCUCCCUCCAGUGCCUCCUCUUGGCAGAACCUAACAAGAAAUCAGCUGACAAGGGAGUCUGGGAACCAGUGUCCUGUGAUUUCCUUCCAAAACAGCCUUUUGGAUUUUGAUCAAAAUUCCUCCAUAGAUCAACCUGGGGAGAACGGAAUCUUUCCUUCAGAGAACUUGGUAUAUAUCUCCAUUGUUUGAGUCUUCAUUAAAGUUUAUAAUUUUCCCUGUAAUGGUUUUAAUUCAUUCAUUAUUGUUAAGUGAUAAAUUCAUUUAAUUCAUUGUUAGAUUUAUUCCUAGGUAAUUUAUGUCCUCUAAGACUAUGGCAAAUAUUAUCUUCUUUUUAAUUAUUUUUGUUGCUGGUGUAUGAAAUUGCAAUUUAUUGUUUUAUAUUAAUCUUUUAUUGAGCUACCUUAUUAACUUAUCUUAUUAGAUUGAAGUAUUUCUAGAUUAUUUUGGGUUUUAUAUGUAAAUGAUCAUAUCACAAGCAAAUAGUGAUAAUUUUAUGUUUCCUUCCCAAUCCUUCUGCAACUGAUUUGUUUUACUUAAGUUAAUAUACUGGCAAGAACAUCUAAGGAUAGAAAGGAGUGGUGAUCAUGCACAUCCUCACCUCAUUCCAGAUUUUGAAGUGUAAGCUUCUAAUGUUUCCACAUUUGCUUAAUUUUUUAAAUGUGCUUUUUAUUUAUUUAGUUAUCAUUUUUAAAUUAUUAUUUUAUCUUAGA
rnacentral:lncRNA from 1 species